rnacentral:tRNA from 1 species
GUGGUUGUGGUUCAGCGGAAGAGCACUCACCUAGCAUGUGGGAGGCCCUGGGUUCGAUCCUCAGCACCACA